CGUGCAGGCGGUUGCUUAAGUCUGAUGUGAAAGCCCUGGGCUCAACCCGGGAAGUGCAUUGGAAACUGGGCAACUUGAGUACGGGAGAGGAUAGUGGAAUUCCGAGUGUAGGGGUGAAAUCCGUAGAUAUUCGGAGGAACACCGGUGGCGAAGGCGGCUAUCUGGACCGAUACUGACGCUGAGACGCGAAAGCGUGGGGAGCAAACAG
rnacentral:rRNA from 1 species